rnacentral:rRNA from 1 species
GACGAACGCUGGCGGCGUGCUUAACACAUGCAAGUCGAACGGAAAGGCCCUGCUUUUGUGGGGUGCUCGAGUGGCGAACGGGUGAGUAACACGUGAGUAACCUGCCCUUUACUUUGGUAUAACUUCAUGAAACUGGGGCUAAUACCGGAUAGGAUCUCCUGCUGCAUGGUGGGGGUUGGUAAGUUUCGGCGGUUGGGGAUUGACUCGCGGCUUAUCAGCUUGUUGGUGGGGUAGUGGCUUACCAAGGCUUUGACGGGUAGCCGGCCUGAGAGGGUGACCGGCCACAUUGGGACUGAGAUACGGCCCAGAGUGCAACGGGAGGCAGCAGUGGGGAAUAUUGCACAAUGGGAGGAAGCCUGAUGCAGAAACGCAGCGUGCGGGAUGACGGCCUUCGGGUUGUAAAACGAUUUCGCAUGUGACGAAGCGUGAGUGACGGUAAUGGGUAAAGAAGCACCGGCUAACUACGUG